CGCGUAGGCCGUUGAGUUAGUUAAUUGUGAAAUCCCAAAGCUUAACUUUGGAACUGCAAUUAAAACUGCUCGACUAGAGUUUGAUAGAGGAAAGCGGAAUACAUAGUGUAGAGGUGAAAUUCGUAGAUAUUAUGUAGAACACCAGUUGCGAAGGCGGCUUUCUGGAUCAACACUGACGCUGAGGCGCGAAAGUAUGGGGUAGCAAAAGA
rnacentral:rRNA from 1 species